rnacentral:sRNA from 1 species
UUUUAGUUUGUUUAUAUAAUGGAUUACAUUAACAGAUUUUGGUGUGUGGAACCAUUCCUAUAUCUCUGGAAAGAAGCCUAUUUGAUUAUGGCACAGGAGAACUGGCCCCGCCCCUCCCUUCAGCACUUGACUCUCCCCAGUUGAUGGCGUCUGGAGAAGAUGCAGGCUGAAAAAGAUUCAUCCUUUCUGCUGGGGGUGGCCACUAGGAAUUUGACUAUGCUACAGACUUCAUUAUAGCAACAGGCAGCUAGACUACCUGGCAGUGGACGAAGGGCUGGGGACAUGCUCAGUGGAUAAGAGUGCUGCUGUACAAGAAAGAAGGCCUGAGCCGGGAGCACUAGUAAUUGUAAAAGGACAUGCAUGGUUACAUGCGUAACCCCAUUUUAGGGGGUAGUGGGGACAGGAAGACACAGGAUCUUUCUGGUUGCUAGCCUUGCUGAAAAAAUAAUGAACUCCAACUCCUGCCUCAAGGGAAUAAAGUGAAGAGCUAUAGUGGAGGACACCAAUGUCUUCUUCUGGCCUUUGAGUGUAUGCAUCUCAGCAAGGAAGGUGGAGCAGAUUAAUGGAAAACACCCAGGUCCUGAAUGCCUCCCAUGUCAGGUAACUACACUGGAGUGGGGGACAACAGUGAACCCUAAGCCCAGAGAAACCUGAAAGCAAAAGAACACUAGUGAGUGGGUCCCAUUGUGACAGCUUAAUUGUCAACCUGCCACAACCUGGGAAGAGUCCCAGUGGGUCGUUGCCUGCAUUGGUUGGCCUGUGAGCGUUCUAUGGGGUAUUGUCUUAAUCACAUUAGCAGAGGAGGGAGCAUCCAGCCCACUAUAAAUGGCGCCAUUUCCUAGGCAGGGGCCCUAAAAUGUAGGAGUAGGAAAACGGAACCGAGAAUAAGCAAAUGAGUGAGUUAGCUUGCACACACGUCUGACUGUUAAUGUGAUGUGACCAGCUGUGUCAAGUUCCUGCCAUCCCUGACCUCCCUGCAGUGACCGACUGUCACCUGGAAUGUAAGGUAAAAUAAGCUUCUUUCUGUUUUAGUUUUUUUUUUUUUUGUUAGAGCAUUUUAUCACAUCAACAGAAACGAAACUAGGAUAAACUUGGAGGAUGAAGAAUCUGAUAAAAAUAUAAUACCAGGGUUUUUUUUUUUUUUCCAAAAUACUGAGGCCAACAGCCAGGAAGAAGGAGCUGAAAGUGAGGCACAUCCAUUUGUCUGGCAAAGAAGCAUGGCGGUAGAAGC